AUACGGAAGGUCCGGGCGUUAUCCGGAUUUAUUGGGUUUAAAGGGAGCGCAGGCGGAGAUGCAAGCGUGACGUCAAAUUUCGGGGCUCAACCCCGUCUCGCGUCGCGAACUGCGUCCCUUGGUUGCGGGAAGGGGAGGCGGAACUCGUGGUGUAGCGGUGAAAUGCAUAGAUAUCACGAAGAACUCCGAUCGCGAAGGCAGCCUUCCGGCCCGUCAACGACGCUCAUGCUCGAAGGUGCGGGUAUCAAACAGGAGUAGAUACCCUGGUAGUCCGCACAGUAAACGAUGAUGACUAACUGCCGGCCCGUUGCGGGUCGGUGGCCAAGCGAAAGCGAUAAGUCAUCCACCUGGGGAGUACGACCGCAAGGUUGAAACUCAAAGGAAUUGGCGGGG
rnacentral:rRNA from 1 species